rnacentral:rRNA from 1 species
GACGAACGCUGGCGGCGUGCUUAACACAUGCAAGUCGAACGGAAAGGCCCUGCUUUUGUAGGGUGCUCGAGUGGCGAACGGGUGAGUAACACGUGAGUAACCUGCCCUUGACUUUGGGAUAACUUCAGGAAACUGGGGCUAAUACCGGAUAGGCGCUCCUGCUGCAUGGUGGGGGUUGGAAAGUUUCGGCGGUUGGGGAUGGACUCGCGGCUUAUCAGCUUGUUGGUGGGGUAGUGGCUUACCAAGGCUUUGACGGGUAGCCGGCCUGAGAGGGUGACCGGCCACAUUGGGACUGAGAUACGGCCCAGACUCCUACGGGAGGCAGCAGUGGGGAAUAUUGCACAAUGGGCGGAAGCCUGAUGCAGCAACGCCGCGUGCGGGAUGACGGCCUUCGGGUUGUAAACCGCUUUCGCCUGUGACGAAGCGUGAGUGACGGUAAUGGGUAAAGAAGCACCGGCUAACUACGUG